CGCUGGCGGCGUGCUUAACACAUGCAAGUCGAGCGGAAAGGCCCUUCGGGGUACUCGAGCGGCGAACGGGUGAGUAACACGUGAGUAACCUGCCCCUGACUCUGGGAUAAGCCUGGGAAACUGGGUCUAAUACCGGAUAUGACACACGAUGGCAUCGUCUGUGUGUGGAAAGUUUUUUCGGUCAGGGAUGGACUCGCGGCCUAUCAGCUUGUUGGUGGGGUAGUGGCCUACCAAGGCGACGACGGGUAGCCGGCCUGAGAGGGCGACCGGCCACACUGGGACUGAGACACGGCCCAGACUCCUACGGGAGGCAGCAGUGGGGAAUAUUGCGCAAUGGGCGAAAGCCUGACGCAGCGACGCCGCGUGGGGGAUGACGGCCUUCGGGUUGUAAACCUCUUUCAGCAGGGACGAAGUUGACGUGUACCUGUAGAAGAAGCGCCGGCUAACUACGUGCCAGCAGCCGCGGUAAUACGUAGGGCGCAAGCGUUGUCCGGAAUUAU
rnacentral:rRNA from 1 species